GACGAACGCUGGCGGCGUGCUUAACACAUGCAAGUCGAACGGAAAGGCCCUGCUUUUGUGGGGUGCUCGAGUGGCGAACGGGUGAGUAACACGUGAGUAACCUGCCCUUGACUUUGGGAUAACUUCAGGAAACUGGGGCUAAUACCGGAUAGGAGCUCCUGCUGCAUGGUGGGGGUUGGAAAGUUUCGACGGUUGGGGAUGGACUCGCGGCUUAUCAGCUUGUUGGUGGGGUAGUGGCUUACCAAGGCUUUGACGGGUAGCUGGCCUGAGAGGGUGACCGGCCACAUUGGGACUGAGAUACGGCCCAGACUCCUACGGGAGGCAGCAGUGGGGAAUAUUGCACAAUGGGCGGAAGCCUGAUGCAGCAACGCCGCGUGCGGGAUGACGGCCUUCGGGUUGUAAACCGCUUUCGCCUGUGACGAAGCGUGAGUGACGGUAAUGGGUAAAGAAGCACCGGCUAACUACGUG
rnacentral:rRNA from 1 species